AAACUACUCUCUCCGUCCAGAAAUAACUGUCGCUCAAAUGGAUGUAUCUAGCACUGAAAUACGUCUAGAUAUAUCCGUUUGAGCGACAGUUAUUUCUGGACGGAGGUAGUACUUG
rnacentral:pre_miRNA from 1 species